UUGAAAGUGUGUUAUAUCGACUAGAGGGGGGGUGAAUAGGAGAUUUUUAGAAUUUCAUCACUGAGGAAAUUCCUUUUGAGGAAAUUCCUCACUGAUGAAUAACUUGCAGCGGAAACAACAAAGGAUCAAGAGUGCAUAGUAUUACUAUAACAGUUUUCUCGAUGAGGAAUAUGAAAAACAGUUUGCACAGUACGCAGGAACAGAGUAGACAGGUGAGGAUUAACUAGUGUGAAGAAUUUGAGGUUGAGGAAAUUCAGAGAAAGUCUUCAGCAAAUUCUUCAAACAGAUACAAUGAAAAUCUUUAACAUACAAUAUUGAGGAAUUGAAAGAGUUGAAGAAAUAGAACCCGUAUCACAGUGAAGACAGUGGUUAAUGACCCAGUUCCAACUGCUGUGACAGUCGUACGUGUGGUUUGGAGCGGCUUGGUAUUGAAACCCAAAGACACACAAUCCCGGGACACGCAGUCCCUACCGUAUUCUACUUGAGCUAAGGACACACAGUCCACGCCCAACACUCGUGGUAAGUCUUCAGGGA
rnacentral:lncRNA from 1 species